GGCUGACGAGGUGGCGGUUGAUUUGCACCACCGUUACUGUAACUUUUGCUCGUCUGAGGGUAGCCUGACAUAGCUGGAAAUGAAAAGGUAAGACUCUUUGCAAUAGAGAUGGAAGAAGAGAAUGAGUUGACCUUAAAGAUCUGUUUCUUUCAGUUUUUGAUAUACUUUUUUGUUUCUACAUAAAUCAGGAGAAAGAAGCCAAUAAAGAAGCUUUGAGGAAGUAUUUAGAGUUAGUGGAGUUCUUCACCAAAGGUAAUGUUUCUUUUUUUUUUAUAUUACACCAUCACUAAAACCUAUCGCAACAGUUUCUGUAUCAAAUAGUUUGAUCGGACAUAAUAAUUUGAUUUGUACUCCUUUGUAUGUUCUGGAACGCAAUGUGGGUUUCGAAUGUAGUUCUGAUUGCUUUGUAUGAGCAGAAUGACAAGCCUUCCUCUGCUUUAGAAUUCAUCCAGCAAAAGCUAGGAGGUCCUUCAGUUUCUGAUUACAAGAAGCUUCAAUCUGAGAAGUCUGACCUUCAAAUAAAGGACAAUGAAGUUUUUGCUAAACAUCAAGGAACCUUGAGAGAGGUAUCCCGUCCUAACUUGAAUAUAAAAGUUUAUCAGUAAACCAUAUAUAAUUGAUUAGCACAUGAUUACAUGCUUAUGUAGUUCCUUAUCCAUUCUUUUUAGUUGUCUUCAGAAUUUCUAUAUGAUUGGUUGGAAUGGUAAUGGAGUGUAUAGAGUACUAAAGAUAGACCAGCUUGAUGUGUCUGAGCUUAACCUCAGUGAGGAUUUCACUGCCUAUACCAAAAAAGAAUGCUACGAGCUGCUUAAACGGAUACACAAAGGAAACAAGGCCACAGGCGGCCUCGAAUUUGUCACUCUCUGUUAUGGCAUCAUUGGUUUGUGUUCUUUUGUUUCAAGUUAUGGUCGCUGAAACAUACAUUGUUUUACUUUUACAGCGUGUUCUCACAAUUUGUUUUUUUCUUCCCAUUUUUGUGGUCUCAGGAUUCAUUAAGUUUUAGGGACCAUACUACAUUCUGGUUAUCACUUAGAGAAGAGAGAUAGGCGAAAUUUGUGGUCACAUGGUGUAUGAAGUCUCCAAGAGUGAGAUCAUUUCUUUGCGAAAUUCUAGCAUGAUUUGCAGCAUUUCAAAUUCAAGAGACGAGAACAGGUGUUUUUAUAUAUCUUUUACUUUUUUUCCCUUUUUUUUUUGUCUGUCCCAAGCUUAUUGUCGAAGAAAGUUUCUGUUUUUCUUUUCAGUUCGGUGAAAAGUUAGUGAGUUACAUGUGUUCAUUUAUUAUACCCUUCCACCUUUUUAUGAACUCAAGUCAUUUAACCCUUGCGUUUCUUUAUCUGGUGUUGAUAAACAGGUACAAGAGGUUCCUGUGUAGCUCCUGUGUAUGGUGGACCUUACAAAAGACUUCUUUUUCAGCUAUUCUUUCAAUAUAAUGUGUAGUUUCCAGAAGAAUAUAUGUGUGUCAUGUGACCAUGAAAGUGGUGGUGCUCUCUAUAAGAAAAGAACAAAAUAAAUGACCACCGCUUUUAAAACAUUUAUGUUACCGCUUCCUACGUCAAUUAAAUAGGCACACACAAAUACUAUUUUUUCUUACGAAUAUUGAAUUCCUCAAAACAAUUUAUUAUUUAAACUUACUGUUGUUUUUUUAAAAAAAAAUGACCACCGCUUCCAACAUCUUCGCAUUAUAAAAUAAACAAAACUUAACUUACCCUUUCAGAAACUUUAAAACUCCAAAUUUUAAUUGAGCUGACUUAAACCUAAAUACUAAAAGCUCUAAAACAUAUAAUUUUCUAAAAAACUAAAGAUCGCUCAUCCUCACCCUAGCCCUAAUCACCGACUCCAUCUCAUCGUGAUUCUCUUCCUCUUCAUCUCAUCUUCAACUUAAAUAUUAUCAUUUUUGAAUGAAAACAUUAUUAUUAUUGAAAUAUUAAUUAUUUAUCCAAAACUCUAAUAAACAAAAUAUACAAGUUGUUAAUGCACUCUAUUGUUUGCAAAGAAGCUUUUCAUAUUAUUUCCCUUUUUUCAUUUAAUGCACAAAUACAAAUGUAGAUUUUCCUUUUAUCUAGAAGAUGUUUUUUAAUUUAACAUACAAAUUAUGAACCGUUUGACCAUGUUUAUCAUAAAUGUGGUUUUAUAUAUAUUUUUAGUUUUAAUAUAUUCUUCAUUAUUUACAUCUUAUUAGUUUUAAACGAUACAAAAAAACAUAUAUUAAUUGCAUAUUUUAAAACGAUUAAAGUCACAAUGACCAAUUAUUUUCCAGCACCACCAAAAACUCGAAAACCCCUAUACAACCGAAAUUUUAUUUCCAUAUAUUAUUAAAUUUUAUUUGUUUAUAAUAUGUUUUAAAAACAAACCAAAAAAAAAAUUGUGAUAAAGAAGGAAAGUUUUGAUAGAAUAACCAAAAUGUUUCAUUUAGUCGGUAAAAUGAUCUAUAUACCCUAGAUAUAUAAAAUUUAAUUAAAAAAUAUUAAAAAACAAUAAAAAAAAUUAAGUAAUAGUCUUAGAUUAUACGUUUUCAAAAUACAAUUUUUUAAAAUAAUUUUUUUAGUUGAUUUUUUAAUUGCAAUUUUUCUCUAUUUUUGUUUUCAAUUUAUCUUUUUGUAAUUCUAGCCGAAGUUCACAACAAGUGGAGCGACAACCUCGGAACGCAACCAAUUGUCGUUAGGAUCAUUAGGAUGUGGCCCAUCACAAAUCACACAAAUAAAAAUGCUUUCCUAGGAACAACUUUCAUUUAUAUUGACAUCUAGGUUUGUCUAAAAAAUACUUACUUUUAAUUAUUCCAACAACAUUUCAAAUAAUUGCUUUUAACCAUUCAACAGGAACAAAAAAAAUGGAAGGGCAGGUGCCUAUUUCUACGUCUGACACAGUGUAUCAACGGUUCGAAGAAGGAAAAAUUAAUCACAUUAGUAAUUUUAAUCUUCUUCCCAAUAACCGACGGUACAUGCUUACCGUUCAACCAUACAUAAUCAAUAUCAAUGAGACAACAAUUAUAACACUGAUUCAAGAAAACAUUCCACCGAUUCCUUCAUACAUUUUAUGGCCCCAACGCUAUCCCCAGUUGAUCAGCUUAGCAAGUGCAACCAACUUCCUCCCAAGUCAAAAAAAAAAA